rnacentral:rRNA from 1 species
AGAGUUUGAUCCUGGCUCAGGACGAACGCUGGCGGCGUGCUUUAUACAUGCAAGUCAAGGAGAACGCUUUCUUCGGAAAGCAAGUAAACUGGCGAACGGGUUAGUAACGCGUAGGUAACCUGCCCUAGUGAUCGGGAUAACUCUGUGAAAACGGGGCUAAUACCGGAUAAUAUCUACUCUCUCUGGAGUUUAGAUCAAAGUAGGCUUCGGCUUACACAUUAGGAUGGGCCUGCGUCUGAUUAGCUAGUUGGUAAGGUAAUGGCUUACCAAGGCUACGAUCAGUAGGUGGUUCGAGAGGAUGAUCACCAACACUGGGACUGAGAUACGGCCCAGACUUCUACGGGAGGCAGCAGUAAGGAAUUUUGCGCAAUGGCCGAAAGGUUGACGCAGCAACGCCGCGUGAUUGAAGAAGGUUUUAGGACUGUAAAGAUCUGUCAUAAGGGAAGAAAUGUAUUUAUUCUAACAAAAUAUUUGCUUGACGGUACCUUAUUAGAAAGCUCCGGCUAACUUCGUGCCAGCAGCCGCGGUAAUACGAGGGGAGCAAGCGUUGUCCGGAUUUAUUGGGCGUAAAGAGUUCGUAGGCUGAUUUAUAAGUCGAAAUUGAAAUCCAAUGGCUUAACCAUUGUAACGGUUUCGAUACUGUAAAUCUUGAAUUAUGCAGAGGUAAGUGGAAUUCCUGGUGUAGCGGUGAAAUGCGUAGAUAUCAGGAGGAACACCAAAGGCGAAGGCAGCUUACUGGAUAUCAUCUGACGCUGAGGAGCGAAAGCGUGGGUAGCAAACAGGAUUAGAGACCCUGGUAGUCCACGCCGUAAACGAUGAGUACUUGGUGGUGGAAGAUUCGACCCUUUCACUGUCGGAGUUAACGCGUUAAGUACUCCGCCUGGGGACUACGGCCGCAAGGCUG